GGAAAAAGUCUAACUGGCGGAGCUCCUGGGAACUGGGGCGAUGGGCUCUUAGUAUCGGAGGAUUGAAACCGUCUGAUUUUUACCUGAAAUUCCUUAGUCUCUCCUGUGUUGGGGAAAUGGUCACCUUGGCUUCAGGGACCUGGGCUUUCAGCUGUCCAUACCUGGCCCUGGUUGAUGGCGGCAUGCUGGGCAGUGCAUGUGAAGAUGCACAUGGAAUCAGUCAGAUGAAGCCUGCUGCACGGGUCCCUGUCUGCAUCUUGAUCCAAGUGGUUAUAUGCAUUUAGCUCUCCGUGGAUGUAUCUGGUGGCCUGGGCUAGGCCAGUGUAAGGUAAAUCUGCUUUCUUGAGCCAGUCCUCAAAAAUGACUUGGUGGCCUAGUUGUUGGUAGAGGUAAGUGAGUAGCCCCGCCUUCCAGCCUCCAGAUCAGACUCUAUCUCAAAAAAAAAAAAAAAAAAAAAGUCCCUUGCUGGAUUCAAUUCCCUUUCUUAUCUUCUAGGUCCACUCUGGCCUACAUCCUCUGUGCUCAGGACUACCGGUCAGCCAUUUGCUGGUCCCCAGUUCUUCCAGUUUUCUGGGGUCACCCUUUUCUGUAAUAUCCAAAUAAAAUGGCUCAAAUUUCCA